rnacentral:rRNA from 1 species
UGGCGGCAUGCCUAAUACAUGCAAGUCGAACGGAGAUAGCAAUAUCUUAGUGGCGAACGGGUGCGUAACACGUGAGCAACCUGCCUUAUACAUCGGAAUAACAGCUGGAAACGGCUGCUAAUACCGGAUAAGACCACACCAAGGCAUCUUGGAGAGGUCAAAGCGAAUUAGCGGUAUAAGAUGGGCUCGCGUCCAAUUAGCUAGUUGGUGGGGUAACGGCCCACCAAGGCAACGAUUGGUAGCCGACUUGAGAGAGUGAUCGGCCACACUGGAACUGAGACACGGUCCAGACUCCUACGGGAGGCAGCAGUAGGGAAUAUUGGGCAGUGGAGGAAACUCUUUAACCCCAGCAAUGCCGCGUGAAUGAUGAAGGUCUUAUGGAUUGUAAAGUUCUUUAAUUGGGGACGAAAGAAAUGACGGUACCCAAAGAAUAAGCCCCGGCUAACUAUGUGCCAGCAGCAGC